AAACUUAAAUGAAUUGACGGGGCCCGCACAAGCGGUGGAGCAUGUGGUUUAAUUCGAUGCAACGCGAAGAACCUUACCUGGGCUUGACAUCUGGGGAAUCCCCUGGAAACAGGGGAGUGCCCUUCGGGGAACCCCAAGACAGGUGCUGCAUGGCUGUCGUCAGCUCGUGUCGUGAGAUGUUGGGUUAAGUCCCGCAACGAGCGCAACCCUUAUCCCCAGUUGCCAUCAGGUAAAGCUGGGAACUCUGGGGAGACUGCCGGUGAUAAACCGGAGGAAGGCGGGGAUGACGUCAAGUCCUCAUGGCCCUUACAUCCCGGGCUACACACGUGCUACAAUGGCAGGUACAGAGGGCUGCGAAGCCGCGAGGUGGAGCGAAUCCCAGAAAACCUGUCUCAGUCCGGAUUGAAGUCUGCAACUCGACUUCAUGAAGGCGGAAUCGCUAGUAACCGCGAAUCAGCAGGUCGCGGUGAAUACGUUCCCGGGCCUU
rnacentral:rRNA from 1 species